rnacentral:rRNA from 1 species
AUUGAACGCUGGCGGCAGGCUUAACACAUGCAAGUCGAACGAGUGGCGGACGGGUGAGUAAUGCUUGGGAAUCUAGCUUAUGGAGGGGGAUAACUACUGGAAACGGUGGCUAAUACCGCAUACUAUCGGAUGAACCCAUAUGGGAUUAGCUAGUAGGUGGGGUAAAGGCUCACCUAGGCGACGAUCUCUAGCUGGUCUGAGAGGAUGAUCAGCCACACUGGGACUGCGACACGGCCCAGACUCCUACGGGAGGCAGCAGUGGGGAAUAUUGCACAAUGGGCGCAAGCCUGAUGCAGCCAUGCCGCGUGUAUGAAGAAGGCCUUCGGGUUGUAAAGUACUUUCAGCGAGGAGGCGUUACUCGCAGAAGAAGCACCGGCUAACUCCGUGCCAGCAGCCGCGGUAAUUC